UGCCCAGCAACUCCUAUCCCUACCUCCUAGCGGUACUGGCCGGGGUACGAGUAACCUUAGGGAAGAUCGGGUAACCAACCCCCGGUGGGAACUUUGGUCGUAUGCUGACAGGGAAGG
rfam:Aedes aegypti strain Liverpool supercont1.889 genomic scaffold, whole genome shotgun sequence.